GAUGAACGCUGGCGGCGUGCCUAAUACAUGCCAGUCGAGCGAACGGACGAGAAGCUUGCUUCUCUGAUGUUAGCGGCGGACGGGUGAGUAACACGUGGAUAACCUACCUAUAAGACUGGGAUAACUUCGGGAAACCGGAGCUAAUACCGGAUAAUAUUUUGAACCGCAUGGUUCAAAAGUGAAAGACGGUCUUGCUGUCACUUAUAGAUGGAUCCGCGCUGCAUUAGCUAGUUGGUAAGGUAACGGCUUACCAAGGCAACGAUGCAUAGCCGACCUGAGAGGGUGAUCGGCCACACUGGAACUGAGACACGGUCCAGACUCCUACGGGAGGCAGCAGUAGGGAAUCUUCCGCAAUGGGCGAAAGCCUGACAGAGCAACGCCGCGUGAGUGAUGAAGGUCUUCGGAUCGUAAAACUCUGUUAUUAGGGAAGAACAUAUGUGUAAGUAACUGUGCACAUCUUGACGGUACCUAAUCAGAAAGCCACGGCUAACUACGUG
rnacentral:rRNA from 1 species